UGGGGAAUUUUGGACAAUGGGCGCAAGCCUGAUCCAGCCAUGCCGCGUGCGGGAAGAAGGCCUUCGGGUUGUAAACCGCUUUUGUCAGGGAAGAAAUCUUCUGAGUUAAUACCUCGGGAGGAUGACGGUACCUGAAGAAUAAGCACCGGCUAACUACGUGCCAGCAGCCGCGGUAAUACGUAGGGUGCAAGCGUUAAUCGGAAUUACUGGGCGUAAAGCGUGCGCAGGCGGUUUUGUAAGACAGAGGUGAAAUCCCCGGGCUCAACCUGGGAACUGCCUUUGUGACUGCAAGGCUUGAGUGCGGCAGAGGGGGGCAUGGAAUUCCGCGUGUAGCAGUGAAAUGCGUAGAUAUGCGGAGGAACACCGAUGGCGAAGGCAAUCCCCUGGGCCUGCACUGACGCUCAUGCACGAAAGCGUGGGGAGCAAACAGGAUUAGAUACCCUGGUAGUCC
rnacentral:rRNA from 1 species